AGUGCUGUUGAUGCUCCUUAGAGUGGGCUUCAUACUUUAAAUGCGAGAGCAUUUGCGACAACAAUAAGGUUUACCGAGCGCCUAGGUGUCCAGUUGAAAACCUGACUUGAGGAAGAACUUGAAUUUGCAUAAUGUAAUGUCCGAUUUGUCACGCGUUUGUUCAUCCUUCGGAAUGGCAGCCUUGUAUUAGACAAGGGAUUGAGAAACGGCCAGAGAUGAAGUCCGUGGAUGGCUCUUCAACGUAGUUCUAUUUAUGAUCGGUGGCAACCGCCAAGGAAGGACAAGAAAGAGGAGGCGAAUGCAGCGCGUGACUAAAAUGCGCGUGAACAAGAAGAUCCAACACAAGCAGAGUCACGUCGCCUUACCAACACUAUGACGGAGGCCCCGGAAAAAGACACCAAGCCGCAUCCAAGUGACAUAAAAGCCGUGAUCGGGGAAUAUGAACUUGUGAGUCGCAUCAUAUUCUACGAUGAGAUAUUACCAUACUACGCUUU
rnacentral:lncRNA from 1 species